rnacentral:rRNA from 1 species
GACGAACGCUGGCGGCGUGCCUAAUACAUGCAAGUAGAACGCUGAAGGAGGAGCUUGCUUCUCUGGAUGAGUUGCGAACGGGUGAGUAACGCGUAGGUAACCUGCCUGGUAGCGGGGGAUAACUAUUGGAAACGAUAGCUAAUACCGCAUAAUAUUGACUAUUGCAUGAUAGUCAGUUGAAAGGUGCAACUGCACCACUACCAGAUGGACCUGCGUUGUAUUAGCUAGUUGGUGGGGUAACGGCUCACCAAGGCGACGAUACAUAGCCGACCUGAGAGGGUGAUCGGCCACACUGGGACUGAGACACGGCCCAGACUCCUACGGGAGGCAGCAGUAGGGAAUCUUCGGCAAUGGACGGAAGUCUGACCGAGCAACGCCGCGUGAGUGAAGAAGGUUUUCGGAUCGUAAAGCUCUGUUGUAAGAGAAGAACGAGUGUGAGAGUGGAAAGCUCACAAUGUGACGGUAUCUUACCAGAAAGGGACGGCUAACUACGUG